rnacentral:rRNA from 1 species
AGCAGCCGCGGUAAUUCCAGCUCCAAUAGCGUAUAUUAAAGUUGUUGCAGUUAAAAAGCUCGUAGUUGAAUUUCGGGACUAAUAUGUCGGUCGUACUUUGUACGUACUAGCAUUAUUGGUUUCUCCCUUCUGACGAACCACGAUGUCAUUAAUUUGGUGUCAUGGGAAAUCAGGACUGUUACUUUGAAAAAUUAGAGUGUUUAAAGCAAGCUCGCGCUUGAAUACAUUAGCAUGGAAUAAUGAAAUAGGACGUUUGAUUCUAUUUUGUUGGUUUCUAGGAUCGACGUAAUGAUUAAUAGGGAUAGUUGGGGGCAUUAGUAUUCAAUUGUCAGAGGUGAAAUUCUUGGAUUUAUUGAAGACUAACUACUGCGAAAGCAUUUGCCAAGGAUGUUUUCAUUAAUCAAGAACGAAAGUUAGGGGAUCGAAGACGAUCAGAUACCGUCGUAGUCUUAACCAUAAACUAUGCCGACUAGGGAUCGGAUGAUGUUAAUU